rnacentral:rRNA from 1 species
UAACAUCGUGUGCUAAUGACGGUACCAGCAGAAGAAGCACCGGCUAACUACGUGCCAGCAGCCGCGGUAAUACGUAGGGUGCGAGCGUUAAUCGGAAUUACUGGGCGUAAAGCGUGCGCAGGCGGAUUGUUAAGCAAGAUGUGAAAUCCCCGGGCUUAACCUGGGAAUGGCAUUUUGAACUGGCAGUCUAGAGUGUGUCAGAGGGGGGUGGAAUUCCACGUGUAGCAGUGAAAUGCGUAGAUAUGUGGAGGAACACCAAUGGCGAAGGCAGCCCCCUGGGAUAACACUGACGCUCAUGUACGAAAGCGUGGGUAGCAAACAGGAUUAGAUACCCUGGUAGUCCACGCCCUAAACGAUGUCAACUGGUUGUUGGGGGAGUGAAAUCCCUUAGUAACGAAGCUAACGCGUGAAGUUGACCGCCUGGGGAGUACGGUCGCAAGAUUAAAACUCAAAGGAAUUGACGGGGACCCGCACAAGCGGUGGAUGAUGUGGAUUAAUUCGAUGCAACGCGAAAAACCUUACCUACCCUUGACAUGUCCAGAAUCCUGCAGAGAUGCGGGAGUGCCCGAAAGGGAAUUGGAACACAGGUGCUGCAUGGCUGUCGUCAGCUCGUGUCGUGAGAUGUUGGGUUAAGUCCCGCAACGAGCGCAACCCUUAUCAUUAGUUGCUACGCAAGGGCACUCUAAUGAGACUGCCGGUGACAAACCGGAGGAAGGUGGGGAUGACGUCAAGUCCUCAUGGCCCUUAUGGGUAGGGCUUCACACGUCAUACAAUGGUCGGUACAGAGGGUUGCCAAGCCGCGAGGUGGAGCCAAUCCCAGAAAGCCGAUCGUAGUCCGGAUUGUUCUCUGCAACUCGAGAGCAUGAAGUCGGAAUCGCUAGUAAUCGCGGAUCGGCAUGCCGCGGUGAAUACGUUCCCGGGUCUUGUACACACCGCCCGUCACACCAUGGGAGUGGAAUCUGCCAGAAGUAGGUAGCCUAACCGCAAGGGGGGCGCUUACCACGCGGGGUUUCAUGACUGGGGUGAAGUCGUAACAAGGUAACCGUAGGGGAA